ensembl:lncRNA
AUGAGGACAGUGCAUUUCCUGAAGUUCCUCCCUGUGACUGUCAGUGCCUGCAGACUUCCAGGCCCCCUGUCCAGGCAUCAUUGACAGCAAACAAACGAGACCAGAGUGUCCAGGACCUGGCAGUCCCUCCCUGCCCUGAUGCUGCUGCUGGCCCUGCUGCUGCCCCUUCUGUGGGCGGGGUCCCUGCAGGAGGAACCAAGCUACUGGCUGCGGGUGCAGAAGUUGGUGACAGUGCAGGAGACCCUGUGUGCCCUGGUGUCCUGCUCCUUCUCCUACCCCCAGGACCGCUGGAACCACUCGACCCCUGCUUAUGGCUACUGGUACCAGCACAAGGAGGGUCCCCAAAACUCAUCAUACAACAAAUGAACUUGUGGCCACAAAUGACCCACGCAAGAAAGCUGGACUGAGAAGCAAAGCUCGUUUCCAGCUGCUCGGGGACCCCAGGGCCUACAACUGCUCCCCCUGAGGAUCGCAGGGUGCCCAGCAGGGGGACAGUGGAAGUUACUAUUUUCGGGUGGAGAGGAGUCAUGAAAUACAAUUAUGUGAGACUGGUGCUGACUGUGAUUGUCACAGAUCUUCGGAGAUCCUGCCUCCACCACUCCCUCAGGACCACGGCACCCACCUCACCUGUCGGGUGACUCUCCCUCAGGCUGGAGUGACCAGGGAGAGGACUGUCCAGCUCAGUGUGUCCUAUCCUCCUCAGAGCCUGACCCUCAGUGUCUCCACAGCAGAUGACAGAGCCCGUGUCCUGUGUGGAUUUAAGCCUGGCGGCUCCAUCCCAAGGUACUGGGGGCACAGAGAGGAGCAGGGGCAUCGGAUCCUCAGGAGCCUUGGAAGAAUUGAUGGUUGGAUUUUGGAUUUUUGAGCAAAAGGAGGCUCAGCUGGUGGUGAGUAGUUCCAGCAGGAGAGAAAUGUGGACGAGGAUAAAUGGCUCAAAGGCAUCAUGGGGCACUCAAGAUGUCCCUAAACUGGUGGGUGGAUGGAGGCAGAGAAUGUGGCAGAUUCACACAAUGCGUUAUAAUGCAGCCAGGGAAGCUGAACCCCAUUCUGACUGGAGCUGCACACAGGUGACCCCUGGCAAAGAGGUGCUGGCGAGACAAGCCAGAUAGGAAAGCCCAAACGGCCUGAGAAAAUCUGCAGACAGAGUGGGUUGGUGUUUGCUUGGGGCUGGGGAGGCAAGGACUGGGGAGACAGCUAGGGGUGCUGGCCUUCUCUCUGGGGUGACUCAGACCCUCUAAGAUUGUGAUGGCUGAUGCCCAGCUCUGUGAAUGGACAAAAGCCACUGAAGUGCGCACUUUAAACUGUGUCUACAUGGAGUUACAUGAUGUGUGAAUUUUACAUAGGUAUAGACAAGGACUUUCUGAACAGAACCCCAGUUGAAUAAGAAAUAGUUCCAAUAAUCAACAAAUGGGAUCAUAUUAAAUUAAAGAGCUUCUGCACAGCAAAAUAAACAACCAACAGAGAAAAGACAGAUGGGAAACAAUGUUACAGAGACAGGGGACUCAUAUCCAGACUAUAUAAAGAACUAAAAAAAUUGGAGCCCCCCAAAAUAAAAAACCAAAUCAUAAAAUGGUCAAAUGAAAUGAAUAGAUACUUAACAGAAGAAGGAAAAAAGGCCAAAAAUACAUGCUUAAAUCCUCAGCGUCACAGGCAAUUAGAAAUGCAAAUAAAAACAACAAACAGGGAUUCCAUCUUACUCCAGAAGGAAUGGCCAUCAUUAAGAAAUCAAACAACAACAGAAGGCUGAGGAGUAUGCCAGAAAAGGGGCCCUUUC